UUCGCAAUGCCCGAAAGGGUGACGAAGCGACGCCGCGUGGGUGAGGAAGGCCUUCGGGUUGUAAAGCCCUGUCAGGAGUUAAGAAAUGUAGACUCGCUAAUAUCGGGUCUAUUUGACAAAGGCUCCAAAGGAAGCCACGGCUAACUCUGUGCCAGCAGCCGCGGUAAUACAGAGGUGGCAAGCGUUGUUCGGAAUUAUUGGGCGUAAAGAGCACGUAGGUGGAUUUGUAAGUCAGAUGAGAAAGCCUUCUGUUCAAAGGAAGAACGGCAUCUGAAACUGCAAAUCUUGAGUGUAGGAGGGGAGAGUGGAACUUCUGGUGGAGCGGUGAAGUGCGUAGAUAUCAGAAGGAACGUCGGCGGCGAAAGCGACUCUCUGGCCUAUUACUGACACUGAGUGUGCGAAAGUUAGGGGAGCAAACGGGAUUAGAUACCCCGGUAGUCCUAGCCGUAAACGAUGGGCACUAAGUAGAGGGGUUUU
rnacentral:rRNA from 1 species